GACCCAACUGGUACCACUCUGCAUGGGCAGGCAUCUAAUGAGAAGACUAGUCUUUAAAAACUCGCUCUUGGCCAUCAACUCAAUGAGCAGAUAAUACCCCUGUUGGCUGGAUGGAGUGUACAUGGCCGCCUGUCCGCAGCGCUCGGGUUCACUGCAGUGGAGCCCUGGGGCUCUGGGCAUCUCAGUGCUGAUGACACUGGACUGGACAGAAAGGGAGCAGGGAGAGCGCUCCUCAUCUCUAGGUGGUGCAGUCACAGAACCAAAGGGCGGAGGGAGCAGAGAGGAGACCAGGGUUGCUGGUAUUUGUGAGUCAACAGUGCCAUCAAGCGGAUGACUUUUGAGCACAGGCUCCAGUCCUAUUGCUGGUGGCUUCUGGGAAAGUCCUGUAAUAC